GACAGAGGGUGCAAACGUUGUUCGGAAUUACUGGGCGUAAAGCGUGUGUAGGCGGCUAGGUAAGUCGGAUGUGAAAGCCCCGGGCUCAACUCGGGAAGUGCACUCGAUACUGCUUAGCUCGAGUACCGGAGAGGUUGGUGGAAUUCUCGGUGUAGAGGUGAAAUUCGUAGAUAUCGAGAGGAACACCGGUGGCGAAGGCGGCCAACUGGACGAGUACUGACGCUCAUGCACGAAAGCGUGGGGAGCAAACAGG
rnacentral:rRNA from 1 species